GCAGCGCAGGUAGCAAUACUGGGCGGCGACCGGCAAACGGGUGCGGAACACGUACACAACCUUCCGAGAAGUGGGGAAUAGCCCAGAGAAAUUUGGAUUAAUACCCCGUAACAUAACGAUGUGGCAUCACAUUGUUAUUAUAGCUUCGGCGCUUCUUGAUGGGUGUGCGGCUGAUUAGAUAGUUGGCGGGGUAACGGCCCACCAAGUCUACGAUCAGUAGCUGAUGUGAGAGCAUGAUCAGCCACACGGGCACUGAGACACGGGCCCGACUCCUACGGGAGGCAGCAGUAAGGAAUAUUGGUCAAUGGACGCAAGUCUGAACCAGCCAUGCCGCGUGAAGGAUUAAGGUCCUCUGGAUUGUAAACUUCUUUUAUCUGGGACGAAAAAAGGCGAUUCUUCGUCACUUGACGGUACCAGAUGAAUAAACACCGGCUAACUCCGUGCCAGCAGCCGCGGUAAUACGGAGGGUGCAAGCGUUAUCCGGAUUCACUGGGUUUAAAGGGUGCGUAGGCGGGCAGGUAAGUCAGUGGUGAAAUCCUAGAGCUUAACUCUAGAACUGCCAUUGAUACUAUCUGUCUUGAAUAUCGUGGAGGUAAGCGGAAUAUGUCAUGUAGCGGUGAAAUGCUUAGAUAUGACAUAGAACACCUAUUGCGAAGGCAGCUUACUACGCAUAUAUUGACGCUGAGGCACGAAAGCGUGGGGAUCAAACAGGAUUAGAUACCCUGGUAGUCCACGCCCUAAACGAUGAUUACUCGACAUUUNNNNNNCACUAUAAGUGUCUG
rnacentral:rRNA from 1 species